rnacentral:tRNA from 1 species
GGCUUUAUAGUCAAUGAUGACAUUAGAUUGCAAUUCUAAAGGAGUAAAUAUUUACUAAGGCUU